UUUUUUUAAAACAAAAAAGUUCAAAAAGCAUAAUUUUUUUUUUAAAUGUUUUUAUCGAAUAAACUGUAUUGUAUGAAUACUCGUCAGAUCAAUUGUAGUGGUAUAAAACUUUUCUGUGCAAAGGUUGUAAUGGAGGGGCAUGAAGAGAAGAACAAUAAUGGAGAAAAGAAUAAGAAGAACAAAGGGGAGGGACAGUGGCUAAGUUAGACAAAGAACAAGAAGAAAAAAAGUGAGGAGAGUUUUAAAGUAAAAAAGUGAAAAAAGAAUUACCUAGGUUAAAAACCCAUUUUAUCCAUUCUCAGAUUUCUUGUCUCCGCCAAACAAAUUCCAAAUUCUGCUUUUAUUAAAAACUCCUGAAAUGACAUUCAAAAUACCAUUUGCAGAAAAUGGAAUUCUGAACAUAAUAAAUACAGUGUUAUAUCUAUAAAUAAAAUGCAUAGUAUGUCAUAUGUGAAAUUAAAAACACUUUGUGUCAUUAAUAAAAAAAAAAAUUGAUUUUUUGAACAUAGCAUACAAAGUUGAUUCUUUUGAAACAAAAAAUUUCAAAAACCAUAAACUUUUUUUAAAUGUUUUUAUCGAAUAAAACUUUUUUUAAAUGUUUUUAUCGAAUAAACUGUAUUGUAUGAAUACUCGUCAGAUCAAUUGUAGUGGUAUAAAACUUUUCCGUGCAAAGGUGGUGAUAGAGGGGCAUGAAGAGAAGAAUAAGAAUAGAGAAAAGAAUAAGAAGAACAAAGGGGAUGGGCAGUGGCUAAUUUAGGCAAAGAACAAGAAGAAAAAAAGUGAGGAGAGUUUUAAAGUAAAAAGGUGAAAAAAGAAUUACCUAGGUUAAAAACCCAUUUUUUCCAUUCUCAGAAUUCUUGUCUCCCCCAAACAAGAUCCAAAUUCUGCUUUUAUUAAAAACUCCUCAAAUGACAUUCAAAAUACGA
rnacentral:lncRNA from 1 species